UGGGGAAUAUUGCACAAUGGAGGGAACUCUGAUGCAGCGACGCCGCGUGAACGAAGAAGGCUUUCGAGUCGUAAAGUUCUUUUAUAUGGGAAGAUAAUGACGGUACCAUAAGAAAAAGCCACGGCUAACUACGUGCCAGCAGCCGCGGUAAUACGUAGGGGGCUAGCGUUGUCCGGAAUCACUGGGCGUAAAGGGUUCGCAGGCGGAAAUGCAAGUCAGGUGUAAAAGGCAGUAGCUUAACUACUGUAAGCAUUUGAAACUGCAUAUCUUGAGAAGAGUAGAGGUAAGUUGAAUUUUUAGUGUAGCGGUGAAAUGCGUAGAUAUUAAAAAGAAUACCGGUGGCGAAGGCGACUUACUGGGCUCAUUCUGACGCUGAGGAACGAAAGCGUGGGUAGCAAACAGG
rnacentral:rRNA from 1 species